rnacentral:lncRNA from 1 species
AUUUUUCUUUAACCCUAAAUGGGGCCUUCAAUUCAUUUCCGAUUGUGUUGUCAGUCUGUGCAUUUAUGGGAACCACUCUAAUCUAGGCCGUCAAGUGUGCUGAGAAGAAAAAUGGCAGAAAUUCUGGACCUUGGCUACUGGUCUAUGUAUAUACCUUUCCCAUUUUAGGAAGCUGGAAAAGACACUUUAUGAACUGGAGGCAACAAAGAAUCAGCUGUCAGAUGCCGAGGAAAAUCUGAAAGUAAUCAAAGAAGAAAUGGACAAGUACAAACAACAGAUCGGAAAGAUGCAAGACCAGCUGCAGGAGGCAGAGCUCACCUUUGAACGCAAGGUAACCUGAGCUGUGCCCCAACAGGCCCCUUAGCGCCUCCUGCAGGGGACGGAAGUGGCCCUUAGAUCCCUGAACAUGCGCUUUUGGUGUGUUGGCUUUUUCAGAUUGCAGUUUAUGAAAAGAAUGCUGUAGGGAAUUGGAUCAAGGCUCGGGUUUGGGAGCGGAAGAUACAGCAGCAGAGAAGGGAGAACGCCUACAUGAUACACAGACUGCGCAUGAUGGAAGGAGAGAUGCUGCCUGAGGGAUGCAUGAGGCAGGAAGCGAUGCUGGGAAGACCUGAGAUGUGGAGCCCUCCACGGAGAGGGCAUUGGUCUGAUGCUGAACCUGGUGGGGCUCCCAUAAGGAACAACGGCACUGAGCCUAAUAGAGACCCUGGGAUGUACAAGUUAACUACUGUGGACUUUUCCACUUUUUUCAGAAACUUCCACUUUUGAGCAACACCCUGUCCUGGCCUUGCGUCUAUUGGGUGGGUCGUCCAGUUUGUCUGUGGCGUCAUUCACCUCUCAAAAUACAAGCAGUUCACACAGGGGCUGACAGGCUUCUCCAUUACAAAUCGUCAUCUUUGGGGGCCUCUCCCGAAGCCACAGGUGGUUAGAGGUGAAGGAUGGCAGAACACUCACUGUGUGUGUGUGUGUGUGUGUGUGUGUGUGUGUGUGUGUGUGUGUGUGUGUACCCCUGCUCACCCAUAGCGCACAAGGGGGAAAUAACUCAAGGAAGAUGACAGCUCACUGCACACUGAAGUCUCUGGGCUGCCUGACUCCCAUUGGGGUAGGUUUAGG